rnacentral:lncRNA from 1 species
CAAAAAUUCUCCUUUCCCUCUCUUCUGCCAGCUCCUCAUCCAAUUUACAGCCUAUGAAUCACCUUCAUCUUAACCUGUAACUUCCUUGUUGGAGGUAUAUAAGAUGUUUAACUCAAGUCUAGAUGAAUGAGAUCUAGUAUAAACUUUUUGUUUCAAGAACCGCUUUAAAGGAAGCUAUUAGUUCAACUGACAUGAUCUCUCUUCAGUAAAUACACUGUGUUCUAUAUAUUUCCAUGAUAUUAACUUAUCUUUUCCUCCAAACUGUUCCAAAGCUUUGCAAAUUCCUGAGGCCAGACUAAUAUAUCUAUAGGUAUCUGGAUGGCUUUUUCCUUACUCUUCAUAAUAUCAUCUACAGAGAUGAAGAGAACUGAUCUCAUGGGAAAUGAGCAAGCCUGCACAGCCAUGUAAAAUGAUAUGUGAAGCGUAUGCAGUGUGCACAAGCUGAUGAUAACAAAAACACUAUACACUCUUCUGCUGCUCUCCAAAGUAAAGCUGCAUUUGCCACUGAUGGGAGAAUCACUUGGCAAAACUGAGAUGAAGUCACUAGAGUGAAGAAACCACAGUAUGAAUUCUUGUUGUGUGUUGUAGAAAGACAUGUACAGUGGGAAGAGAAGGAUGGACAAUUGCACAUUUCUUCUGAGUUGAUUCACCCUACUCAUGCACAGAAUUUAUCUCCCUUCUUGCUGUUGUUUGCACCUCAACACACACAAGUGUAUCAAACAGUAUUGAUACAGAAGCUGGCCCCCCACAGAAUAAGAAGAUCUGACAAGCAUUCAAGUAAUCAUCACUCUCGAUAAAUGGAGAUCAUCAAGGGCAUUUCUCAUUCCUAGAACUACAAGAAGCAUUAAUUCAGCUUUUCAUUUAUUUCAUGGGAUAGGAUGCAGACAACACUCACAAAAAUAGAGCUGAUUUUCCUGACUAGUAAAAUCACACCCUCUUGAAGGUCUGAGCAACAUGUGGUGUCUUUAGACUGAUGUCUUCUCAACCCCUGAGUCAUAGAAACUGAAAGGAGCAGGAAUUUUCAUCUCUCUUCUCUAUCAGUUAUUCCUACAGGUAAAACAAUUAGAGAAAGACUUAUUAAAGCUUAGAAUAUGAAUAAGGAACAGGAUUUAAUUUCUUUUAUACAAAUUAAGCAAUAGCUUAAAUGCCUGAAUCAAUCAAUUUAAUUUAGAGCUAAACUAAUCCUUGAAGUCAUUAUGAUUACACUAAAGAGUGAACGUGGCAUUUGGCUUUUCAUGCCCCCAAAAUAAAACAGAGGGUUUUUUUUUCA